AUUGAACGCUGGCGGCAGGCCUAACACAUGCAAGUCGAACGAGAGGCGGACGGGUGAGUAAUGUCUGGGAACCUGCCUGAUGGAGGGGGAUAACUGCUGGAAACGGUAGCUAAUACUGCAUACGAUCCUUUGUGCCCAGAUGGGAUUAGCUAGUGGGUGGGGUAACGGAUCAUCAAGGCGACGAUCCCUAGCUGGUCUGAGAGGAUGACCGGCCACACUGGAACUGAGACACGGUCCAGACUCCUACGGGAGGCAGCAGUGGGGAAUAUUGCACAAUGGGCGCAAGCCUGAUGCAGCCAUGCCGCGUGUGUGAAGAAGGCCUUCGGGUUGUAAAGUACUUUCAGCGGGGAGGCGUUACCCGCAGAAGAAGCAACGGCUAACUCCGUGCCAGCAGCCGCGGUAAUUC
rnacentral:rRNA from 1 species